UGAUGGACCUUUUUGGUUGAGAAAGGUCAACUCUCUGGGUUUAGCCUAAGUGGGCCAGGAGGAUACAAAGAGAGAUCAGUUACUCCAAAUAAUAAGAUGAAAGAAAUCUGAAUUUUCAUUGGAUGCCCUAGAAAAAGAGAAUGAGGCCUAGGAAAGAAAGUAGAGGGAGGUUGGUAAAAAGAACUGAGAUGGGAUACAUGCCAGAAACACGGCAGGAGGCAGGGGCCUACUGGAGGACAUGGCUGGUGAGAAGUGGCUGUCCUGAGAGAAUGGCUGUCACAUUGCUAUAAGCAGUCAUGUGUGCACUGAAUUUGAAGUUGUUUUCCGCUUUGUGCCAUAGCCUUCCAUUAACUCUAAAUCUUUCAUGCAAUUUGGAUACAUCUGAUUAUCUUGGUGGUGGAUCAUUUGGAGGAAUGAAGGAUGAGGAGUGGCACAUCAUGGGCAAGAAGGCAAUAGCUAAAGGAACAGGAGACAGUACAAGCAGACUGCAUCGUGGUCUAACCCAGGAGACACAGAAGCAACCUUGGAAACUCUUGCAGAAAUUGAGUCUCAGGACUGACCAUAGUGGUUGGAAAUGGGACUCGGGCCAUUUUUGUACUGAAAGAAUAACCCUAAACACUAAAUUGUUUGGAGUUGUCCAGGUUAGAAACUUCUGGGUUAUAUUCAAGUGGAAAAGAAAUUUUGUUGAGCCACAGUAAAAGAAAUUUGGUUUAUUAGCAGCAUUUGUCAGUCUCCUCCUUGCCGUAUGGUAAUUACCUUCCAGAACAGCAGACUCUUCUGGGUUUCCUUGUGCUUUAUCAGGCACUUAUCAGUUUCCUUUGCUAGUUCCUCCUUUUCUUCCUGAUCUCUUGAUCACAGUGUGCCACAGGGCUCAGUCAUCCAUACUUUCCUCUAUCAACGGACACUCAGUCCUUGGUGAUCUCAUCCAGCCUCUUGCUACUACAUACCGUCCAUAUGUUGACAGUUCCCAGAUUUGUAUUUCCUAGACUUCUCUCCUGAACUCCAGACACAUAUAUCUAUUGCCCACUUGACAUCCCCACUUAUAUGUCUAAAACUCAUCUCAGACUUUACAUGUUCAAUGGUACAUUUCUGGUCUUCCUCCCAAAAAAUACACCACUCAUGGCUUUCUUCAUCUCAGUUGAUGGCAGCUCUGUCCAUCCUCUCAAGCCAUAAAACAUGAGUCAUCCUUUAUGACUCUUUUUCUGUUAUCCUCCAUCUCUAAUUUGACAGGAAAUUCUGUUGUUUUUACCAUCAGAAUAUAUCCAGAAUCUGCCCAUUUCCACCAUCUCUGCUUCUACCACCUGAGUCAGAGCCUCUGUCAUCUCUCAACACAAUCACCCCAAAGUCUCCUAACUGACCUCCCUGCUUCCACCUUUCCCUGCCUCACAGCCAACAAAGAUCCUUUUAAAGCCUAUGUAAUUAAAGCGUAUUAUUCACUCCUUUGUCUCUCGUUUCAUUCAGAGUAAAAGCCAAAGUUCUUACGGUGGUCUUAUCUGAUCUUCACUGAUUCCUGCUUUAGACAAAGAUACAUCUUGGUAAAUCAUAGUUCUUCAUUGCAGGCCAGGCUGUAUCCAUCCACUCUACCAACUGCCAAAAACAAAAUGUUAAAAAGGUGAAUGCAAGCCUAGCAAAAUUACAGAUCAGUAGCUUUUCUGCCUGUGGACAGAUUGGACAUUCCUUAUUCAAAGCAGUGGUUGAGUAAGAUGUGACUUGGGGGUGAGCAGGUAGAGAGAGAAAUCCUGAUAUCAGCCACUUUCUUGCUAAUGAGCACAUUAUCUGUAGUUUUGGUGUAUCCUCUAGAGGUUUCUAAUAUGCAGAAUGAUCUACUUCUGAGCCUCUUUAGGCCAUUAAGUUUAGGCCAUUAAGUUCUUUGGCAUUGAUGACGAAUUUCCUGUGGCAAGGAAAUCAUUUUUACUUUUGUCAGCUAUUCUAAAAGUCAGUAGAUUGAUGCAGUUGGUUCUGAAAAUACCUGCCAACAUUCUGAGGUCCAAGCCCUUACCUCCUGCCUUCUAGACUAAUGAUUCUCAAUCAUGGGCCACUGUGUCCCCCAGGGGACAUUUGGCAAUGUCUGGAGAUGUUUUUGGUUGUCACAGGGUGACAGGUGGGAGGUGCUACUGGCAUCAGGUGGGCCAAGGAUGUGGCCGAGCACCCACCAAUGCACAGGACAAACCCCCCAUAACAAAGGAUUACGCAGCCCAAAAUGGCAGUAGUGCUGAGGUUGAGAAACCGCCAUCUAGACUAUUCUGGCGGACUUUUAAUCUACCUUGUGCCCCAUUGCCAAACCAGCAUUCCUAAACCGUCACAUUUAUCCAUCACUCCUAAGUUCCAGUAGCCCCCAUAGCUCUUCAUUGCCUGAAAGAUCAAGUCUCUCCUUCUCAUCCUGGCGUUUAGAUCCUGAGGUGUUUUGCACACUUAAUGUAUCCAUUCCCUAGCAGGAACUCUGCUUCUCCUAAGCUUUCAUUGGCACCAUCCUUCACACUACCAUCCUUUUACUGACGUUAACCCCCCAAACACACAACCGGUGAGGACCCUCCCCACAGCUCUCCUCUGAUCCAACUCUUACCCUCUGAAGUCCACACGUGUGGCACACCCCUUGCCACUGAGUCAGUCUAUGCCACCCCCUUCUGUACAUAUCAGGGCUCACAUGUCUACACCGUUAUACAGCUAUUCCCUCUAUUUUGUCUCCUCAAUAAACUCUUUGAAGGGGUCCAUAUUGUAUUUCUGGCCUAUCGAUCUCAGUUUCCACAGCGUAAGGUGUGAAAACCAUAUUGUUGUAUUGAGAGUUCCUUGUUGUGAGAGUCAAAUGAGCAUAAAAAGUACCUUGCAUAGGGCCUGGUACCCAGUUUAUUGCUCAGAAAAUUACAGAAUCAUAGUAUCUAUAGAAGCAUACAUUCAGGAGUCCAUAGCAAGUGCUUAAUAAAUCUUUUAAAUGUAAUUACAGACUGGAGAGAGCAUGCAUUCAGACCAGCCUGGUAUUUGGAACUAACAGCAAAGAAAAACUUCCAUCAGAAAUCCUACACCAAUUAACACUCCUUCAUGCUAGAGUGAAUCCAGGAGCAGUGGGUGUCACAUUUUCCCAAAGUGGAGCCUAAGCCAACCUUUCUGCAUUUAACAAGUUAAUGAACAGCUUGUGAGUAACACUUUGCCCACUCUGGCCCAAUUUAGAAGGCUGCCAAAAGGAUAAGAUGUCAAUAUGCCACUCUCUGCUUUGCCACGGUGCCAGCUGCAUCCUGCCUAAGUGCUUCUGCCCUCAGCCACUGGAGAGCAUGAUGUCCUUAGAGAAGGCAGCACCAGUAGGAUGAGGCUGCAGCGCGGGCCUGGCCUUUCCCCAAGCGGAAGAGAGCCUUGUCUCGGAUCCUGUGAGAGAAGAUGCCCUGAUUCUGCAGUGCAGCUGCUAGGAGAGAGGAGCAGCACAGGGUCACCACCUCACCUAGCUCGAUAGGUGUCCUAACGGCAUGGCCACCAGGUAUCAGACAGACCCCCUUGGCCUGGUCCCUGCACUGUCCCAGGCCCACCUUGGACACCUCCAUUAUACUCAUGAAGAACAGAGCCCGUGGAGUGGAGGACCCUCCUGCAUGGCCUGCAGGUGACAUGGAAAUAGCAGCUGAGGACACAGAAAUGCUGGACCUCUAUUCUCCUUCACAGCCACUGCCACAGUCCCCGGCUGCAGACUCAGUCUCAGCACGGCAGCAGCGUAAACCCAGCGGAUUGUUGGUGGCACCUCAGCACCCAGAGCAUUCUUCUUGGAGGAGUGGGGACAAAGGCCAAGUGGCUGUUACCUGCACACAGGAGAGAUGACCAGGUCAGACAAAGGGCCUAGAAGGCAGACAGAUGAGUCAGUGAAGACUUUGUCCACCCGUGAGAGGGGGUCCAGGUGGGAUCUGUGUACCCUGCCCAACCUUGCUGAGGGCCAUCAAGCCAGCUCAAGGGCAAGGCCAAGACCAGCCAGACUAACAAGCAGCCUGGCCAUAGGUUUUGGCUGCUGUCCUUAACCCUCAAUCCCAGAAGCAUGAGAAAGAGAAAGGGCAUCACCUGUGCCCAGGGACUGAGCCGUCCCAAUUCAGGGAGCAUAACUGCUGUUCUAGCCGGGAGAUGCGGAACGCCAGGUACGAUGAAGACAUGACCAAGAAGCAGGUCCUGGAGAAAGAGGGGUAAGGAGGAAUUGAAUCUCUCUUCUAGAAAAGGGGCAUUUUUACAGAAUCCCCCAAAAUAGGAGUGGGACUAAACUAGUUCCUGCCGUUGGAAGAAUUAAAGAACCUUUUGCCUGCAGUUACGUUCUAGACCUAGGCAUCUUUUUUCCCAGAGGCCACAUGGGGGUCCUGAGACUCGUCCCCAUGGAGGUGUCCUUGAAGCCCAGCAGGAGUUCUGGGUCCUUCAGCUGAGCCCACCUUCCCUCUGACCAGCCACCUUGGUCCUACACCCCCUCUGCAAGGCCACUAAGAUUACCCCCUAAGGCGGUAGCCCUUCCCCCAGCAAGUGCUGAGGUUGACAGUCAAAACCCAGCCAGCAGAGCCAGAGGAAGGUGAUGAGGUAAGGUGAGGGAAUCCAGGGGCUGGCUCUUCAUAAAACAUCCCACCAUGCUCACUGCUCUACUUAGGCAGAAUUACAGACAAGCCUGGGUUUCCAGAAAACACCCCAAUGGUGGGCAGCGGGAAGGCCAUGGCUCUCCCUUAGUCUAUCUGAUGGGCCUCUCAGAUUUUGCCAACCCUCCUCCUCCCCAAUCCUGUGCAACUUUUUCUUUCUUCAACAGCUUCACGUCUUGCCCCUCUCCACAGCCUUAACCCUAAAUUACAGGGUUGUAAGGAUGAAAACUGGAAAUACUUUAUCUUGCUCUAGAAGAGCCUGCUGCACGGCUGCCAGAUGCCACCCGGGAGCUUGCAGUUGACUCAGAACCUUCCCCUCGCUCUGGACACUGACCUCCCCACAUACCAAGGCCCUGGCUCUGAACACUCAGACACCCACCACCCUCCAUACAGCCACCUACAGCACGAGGAAGACCUUCAGGAGCCCGUGAUCCCAGAGCCUCUGCUCCCCGUUGCUCUGGGGCUCGUCCUCCAGCCCCUUCUCCUCAUAGUCAGCGUUCUCUGCAACAGGACGGCAUUAGGCAUCUUCCUGGGCAGAAGGCAGGGCCCCAGCCCACUCCCCCGCCCAUGUUCUCUGGAGCCGCUUUGGCUCUUGGCUUUCCCUUAUGGAUUUGGAGAAAGAAAGAAACAGCUCUCAGAAGCCCUGCUGGCUGUGAUGACCUCUUUUUGCAGAAGUGGGAGGCGGGACAGCCUGGUCUUUGGAAGCAGUUGCCAUGGACAAGCACGCUGAACUCACCAGACCCCGGAGGCUUCCUGGAGGGGAAGCAGUCAUCCGUGGAGUCCGUGGAUGCCCGAGGGAUACAAGGGAUGUUGUCUGGGAGGGACAGGGACCUGGAGGCAGGGCACACUUUUCUCCACUUCAUCUCAGGGAUGAGGACUUCCUGCAGAGAAGGCAGGAGAAGCUGUCUCACCAUGGCCCUUGGGACCUCACUUGCCCUAAGGGGUUCACGCUAGAUUGAUCAAAGCCUUUCCAGAUAUUAUCAAUAUGGAUGCCUAGCAAGCAUGAAAGCAGGUGUCCAGAAGCGGGGAAACCACUGCCAUAGCAAUCACAUGUCUCAUCUGCUCCCUUGCUGUGACCAGCCACUCUUCCAGGGAAUGUUGUCUUUGAAGACUGCUAGUGUAGAACCACAGUGGAGUCUAAGACAUGAGCCAUCCCAGGUACGUGUUCAGAUCGGCUGAGUCCAAGACAGCUUGGCACUGUAUAUCUUAGAUGGAAUAAGUUGUGACUCCUGCUAAUCUGGGCUCUAACCCUAUGUCACUGACCUUGACUUAAGGUCCCCAUCAAUAAAAAGGGGAACAUCGCCUUCCAUCCCCUGCAUGGCAUUGUGCGUAUUGUAUGCUUGGCUAAACGCUUAAUAGUUACUCAAGUAGACUUCAAACACCCUGGGGUCAUUUCCACCCCCCACCCCUGCUCUAGAAACUCUGCUUACCCAGGAUCCCAGGAGCAAAAGAAACAGCUGGGACCUUGGCCAAUCUAAAAGGAUCCUGCCUCAGUUCUGA